UGUAUAAUGAUGAAACCCAUGCGUGUCAGCUGACUCUGUUUCGUCCUGCUGUGUUGAAACUCAGGUUGGCGUUUUGUUGGCCUGGGUGCUCAAUGCAGCAGGGAUCCAGAGACAUGAUCAUACUUCACUUCUGAAUACA